UGUUCAAAACACAAUCUUAGAGUCGUGUGCGUAGAAUAGUAUCCCCUCGUGCUGGUUCAAUGUAUUCAUUGAGUCAAGUUGGAGUUUUUGAAAGUGAAAACUUAUUCAUUCGAGCGAGUAAGCAGAAAGCUUGAACAGUUCUUGAGGAUUUAUACUUAGGAUGUCAGUGAUUUUCAACAUAGUCAUUACAAGGAAUAUAUAACGCCUAUGGAUUAAAUCAGAGUUAUAUGCUUCAUCGCAUUGGAGAAGUUUUCAAGGAUCCACUUUUUUCUAGACUGGUCUUAACGCACAUAGAAGUGAAUAGAGUGCACACUUUUUAAAGAUCCCAGCUUCUGGACUUCAAAUGGUUCCAUCUUCUCAAAUUUUCUCUACAAAAAUGUUUGCUGUCUGUUGAAGACCCUACAGUUAUAAGUGUCUAAAUGGACCCAAUCUCGUGUAUUUAUAGAUCAGUAUUGGAACAUGUUGCGCCUUCAGAAGCUGUAGAGUCUAAGACCCAUACAUUCAAGACCCGGGUAUUCAGGAACCCCCAUAGCUGUGGUUUUUGUAAGGAGAUCAUAUGGAAUGAAGGCAGAAUCUGCAGAGUAUGUAGAUUUGCUUGCCAUAAAAAGUGUGAAUAUAAGGUAAGUGAAAUCACUUUAUUCUGCCAAUUUUGUCAUGAUUUUGAUGGCCAAAAAUGAUAUAUUACUUGAAAUGAGCCAAGAAAGUUCGAGAUGAUGGAUAAAUGCAUGUUUUAAUGGGGAAAUUAAGUUCACAUUUGGCAUGAUUAGGGCUAGAGGUCAUAGUAAUGAAAUGAUCUGUUUGGAGCCAAAAAGAUUUAAACUUGUAUGAUUUUACAGAGUUAAUGCCCUUCUGGCUCCAAACAGACGAGAUGAAUUGUGCAUUCCAGUAAUAUCUCAAGGGUAUCAUUGGAAUAGUUAUGAAGAAUCUGGCAACACCAUAUGGAAGUGCGGAAUGGAAGGAAAUAUGAACAUUCAGAAAGCAGAUUGGUAUAG